rnacentral:lncRNA from 1 species
AUGGCAUCUAAUGCUCUAAGCAGUUAAUAUCUUGUUUCUGGAAAUAAUCUUUUUUGGAUUGCUGAAAGAACUGUUGAUAAGUAAUACCUUAUCAUAAAAAAAAAAAAGCUGCUGGAGUAACUUCUGCUGAUGUUCUGUGGGUCUUAUGCGGCUUCCUACCUGAGCCUUUACACUCUCUGAGCAGAAAGAUGAAGACUGAAAAGCAGUGUGAACGUGAUUGCACAGAGGAGCGCAUACAGCUUUCACCUGGCAGGAUUUUCCAGGAUGGAAAGAAAUUUUGGCACAAGGGGCAAAUCAAGACUCACCACAUUUCCAUGCCCCUGAAAUCUUGCUCUCUUGGCAAUACAGUAUGGCUCUCACUAGCAGAGGAAGAUGUGAGUACCACCAUUGCCAAUGGAGGCUUCUGUGUCAGCCUUCAGAUUUUUCUGCAAUCCAGCUAAACUACAGCUAAGCAUCUGAAGUGAAGCUGAUUUCAAAUACCAAUCAAAAUAUUACUUGGAAACAAUUUUUAAUGAAAUAGUUAAUGAAGAGGCUUGCUAAAAUUCUAAUCACUGACAAUAACCUGAUAACACGCAUAAAUUUUGCUUUGCAAGUUUUCAGAGAGAAACUUUGAAGAGAGCAAGGUUCUGUAGAAAUUAUCAGUGUAAAUUAGUUCUACCUAAUAGACACUACAAUUAUCGUCUGAUAUAAUUAUAGGCCUAUUUUGCAACUCUGCCAAUUUUUUUUUGAUCUUCAGGAACAACCACAUUGGCUAGCAAUCACUAAUGUAAUACGACAGCUAGCACACAACCAAUCUAUCAAAAAGACAAUAUUUUUAAAAGUGUUUAUGCAAAACAAACUACUGCUCUUCUCCAUCUUUUGUAUGUUUUUGAAAUGAAAACUACUGCCCUAAGUUAUUUUCUUAAAUGACAUCUUUUAUUACCCAUAUUUUAUGCCAAAUUUCUCUUUUUGUGUGUGAUAGCUAUUUAUCAUAGUAAAAGCAAAACAGAAACAUACUUCAAUGUGGGAGUUUUAUGUUUUAUAGCAGGAGGCUUUACUUGGAGAUAGGAUUGAUACAUCAAAGUCUCAUCCUGUGAUAACACAUGCAUUUCAAUAUUUACCUUCAUUUUUGUCCUCUACAGUUAAUACAAUAUUUCCCUAACAUAAGCUGCUA